rnacentral:lncRNA from 1 species
GUUUCCGUGAGCUGUGUUGUAGGUUGCAGACCCGGCUCGGAUCCCGCGUUGCGGUGGCUCUGGUGUAGGCCGGUGGAUACAGAUCCGAUUUGACCCCUAGCCUGGGAACCUCCAUAUGCCGCGGGAGAGGCCCAAAGAAAUAGCAACAACAACAACAACAAAAAGACAAAAAGACAAAAAAAAAAAAAAAAAAAAAAAAAAAAAAAGUGGGGCCAACAUGGUCCCAGCCCUCUGAAUUUUUGACAGCUCCUCUUAAAACCAUUUUAUGAAUAUUUUCAGACAGAUGCGCAGAAGUAGAAUAGUACAGUGAAUCGCCCACCACUUAGGUUCAACAAUUAUCCAGACUUGGCUUCAUCUAGCCUCUACUUUUUUGGGGAUCCUGUCUGAAUUUGGGGAGACAGGAAUUAUUACAUCAGCUGCCCUGGUGUUCUGAGCAUGCCCUGAACUGUGUAUACCCUUGGAGGUUUUUUGUUUUUAUUCAGAGCAGCUUGAUGUAUUAUCAUAUAUCGUGAGCAAGUGUCUUUUCCUGCGUGUAUAUGAAAGGGAUCACAGAUCCUUCUAGGUCUUGCGAUUGCAUUGCUUUUAUUGCUGGCUUCCUCUGGCACCAUGUUGACUGUUUCCCGCUCAGUCCUUCCUCAAGGGAGGAGGUUCCCACAGCCGUGGAAGGGACCAGUUCUCCGGCAGCCCAUUGCUCCAGUCCGUUGGUGGUCACCGGACUAUCUGCUUUCUUUUGUAAGGAUGCAGCGAAUCCCUGCUCCUCCUCCCCAGGGCUUGGUCCGACGAAAGUUCCUGGGAAUCGGAGUUCCUGUCGUGGCACAGCGGAAACACAUCCGACGAGGAACCAUGAGGUGGCGGGUUCGCUCCCUGGCCUCACUCACUGGGUUAAGAAUCCGGCAUGGCUGUGAGCUGUGGUGUAGGUCGCAGAUGUGGUUCGGAUCCCGCGUUGCUGUGGCUCUGGCACAGGCCGGCGGCCCCAGCUCCGAUUCGACCCCUAGCCUGGGAACCUCCCUCCAUAUGCCGCAGGUAUGGCCCUAA